GCAAAGCAGAGCAAGAAAGGGGAUUGCACAGAGACGUCGCACCUGCUACUUUUAGAAAGAAAAACUCUAUAGGAGACGCCUCUUGUUUAUUUUCCAAGUUUCCAGAUCCUGGCGGCCAAGUCGAGCUGCAACUCCUGAGUAGAUCCGGAUUAAGUCUACUUCCUUGCCUUGUUCCUGAACCACAGCUUCAUCACGUUCCUGCCUUGAUAUCAAAGACUUCCUAGUGACUUUGGACUUUGUUAUUCAGUCUUGCUUCCUUGUUUUUCCCUGCUCAAGGACUUUCCAACAGUUCUGAGCAUGUUUCGGUUUCUGGACUUUGGACAAUAAUAUUAGACAUUUCCCUUCAAUUCUUUGGACUAAUGCAUACCUUUUCAUAAAGGACUAUUAUCUGCUCAACCUUUCCACCU
rnacentral:lncRNA from 11 species